rnacentral:rRNA from 1 species
AGUGUGCCUUCGGGAACUAUGAGACAGGUGCUGCAUGACUGUAGUCAGCUCGUGUUGUGAAAUGUUGGGUUAAGUCCCGCAACGAGCGCAACCCUUAUCCUUGUUUGCCAGCACUUCGGGUGGGAACUCCAGGGAGACUGCCGGUGAUAAACCGGAGGAAGGUGGGGACGACGUCAAGUCAUCAUGGCCCUUACGAGUAGGGCUACGCACGUGCUACAAUGGCAUAUACAGAGGGCAGCAAGACCGCGAGGUGGAGCGAAUCCCAGAAAGUAUGUCGUAGUCCGGAUCGGAGUCUGCAACUCGACUCCGUGAAGUCGGAAUCGCUAGUAAUCGUGGAUCAGAAUGCCACGGUGAAUACGUUCCCGGGCCUUGUACACACCGCCCGUCACACCAUGGGAGUGGGCUGCACCAGAAGUAGAUAGCUUAACCUUCGGGAGGGCGUUUACCACGGUGUGGUUCAUGACUGGGGUGAAGUCGUAACAAGGUAACCG